rnacentral:miRNA from 1 species
CGAGCCGGAGCCCCGGUAA